rnacentral:rRNA from 1 species
GCUUACGGCCAUACCACCCUGAGCGCGCCCGAUCUCGUCUGAUCUCGGAAGCUAAGCAGGGUCGGGCAUGGUUAGUACUUGGAUGGGAGACCGCCUGGGAAUACCAGGUGCUGUAAGCU